CAUACGUGUGUAAGACGGAGACAAUACUUGCGGGUGACUGGUGAGACGUUCUCUUAAAUAAACACAUAAUACAAUAAUACGUUAUGGAAAGAAAACCAAAGGGCUGAGCUGAAAAGCUUCGUUUAAAAAAACUGAUAAAUUUGCAGGCUAUUGCCAAUGAGCUAAAACGAAAAAAUAUAUCAUUGGAUCGGUCACUACAUGCACACCUAAAAAAAUAUUUGUUGAUGAUUGUGUAACUAAACCAAAACACCAAAGUUGCUUAAUUGUAGCUGUAAGAGAAAAUUCUUUGGUAUAUAUGUUGAAUUCCUGAAUAUAGCCCUUUUGCUGAAAUAAUUCAUAAAAAGUUCUGGCAGUGUUGUUCAUUUCACGAAGAAAAAAAGGGCUAUAGCCCUCCCCCCAUAAGAAAAUUAAUCAUGCUACACCUAUACUCUUAUGCAUGGUCAAACAAAUUUAAUACCAAGUACCAAUAUUGAAUGUCGGAAACAACCAAAGAAUUGGAAUUUAAGCAAUAUAAGGUCAAGAUUUUAUUUGAAAGUACUUAUGUAGAAGCUAAAAAUUUCUAAAGCAUCAUCUCUUAUCGAUGUAUAUGGAUACUCGAAAAAAAUUUAAAAAUUAAGGAAUGAUCAAAUUUCUAUCAGAAAUCGUCAAUAUGGCAGAACAGUGGACAGAUGAAAAUGAUUGGAAUAUUUUAGUUGAAAAUUUCAAUCGUAAAUAUAAAGUAUGGACGAAUUGUACAGAUUGUGAUCAUAUUAACAACUAUGGUCAUACUGAUGAUGAUAAACUAAUUGAAACAUUUUUUGAGAAUAAAACUACAGUUAUUUAAUCUUCUGAUCAUACAAAUACUAGAUGUGACGGCUUGAAUCAAACAAAAUCUGAUGUUGUUGAACAUUAAGUGACUAAUAUAGCACUGACAUUGGAAAUUAUUCAGAAUGUGGUGGAUGUGUCUGUAAAGAUGUUACACAAACAUUUAUAAAAGUUGGUAAUUUUAAGAAAAAACAUGCAUUACUUGUUAUGCUAAAUGAUACAAAUAAUUGUCGAGGAAUUGUAUUUGUUGAACAAAAAAGACUAGCUGAUUUCAUAGCAAUCUUUCUAUGUGAACUAAAUUAUCCAAUUACAAGCAUACACAAAGAUCGUGACCAGCCAGAACGAAAAAAAGCUUUAAGAGAUUUUAAAACCAAAAAAAUGAAGGUCUUAGUAGCUAUUGCUGUGGCUGCUAGAGGACUAGAUAUAAUGGGUGUUACAAUGGUAGUGAAUUUUUAUUUACCAAAAAUAAUUGAACAAUAUGUGCAUAGAAUUUGACAUAUUGGUAGAUUGGGAAAUUCAGGCCGUGCUGUUUCAUUUUUUGAUACAGCAAACGAUUAUGCUAUGGCUCCAUGUUUAGUCAAUACUCUUAAACUGAUUGAAACGAGUGUUGACUGCAAAACGGACACGAAUGCAAGCUGCUGAUCGACACACCAAAAAUCCAAUUCUGCUAAAACAACAUACAAUAAUA